GCAGAGGGCAGUUGUGAGAUCGCUUGGUAGUUCCUCACGGAACUGCUGAGAGGAAAGUCCGGGCUCCUUCGGAAAUGAUGCCGGUUAAUGGCCGGGGGGUAUCGCCGAAAGGCGGUGCUCACAGACAGCGCCACAGAAAAUAAACUGCCUGGCGGUUCCUUUGGGAACCGCUUGGUGAGGGUGAAAAGGCGGGGUAAGAGCCCACCGCGUUUCCGGUAACGGAACGGCAUGGCAAGCCUCAUCAGGAGCAAGGCCGAGCAGUAAAGGGUAUUCCGACCCUUUUUUACGGGUAGGCUGCAAGAGAAACACGGUAACGUGUCUUCCCAGAUAGAUGAUCCCUGCCGUAUCCCGGAAACGGGAUACGGAAACAGAACCCGGCUUACUCGCCCUCUGCUUUU
rnacentral:RNase_P_RNA from 1 species